rnacentral:misc_RNA from 1 species
GUUUUACCAUGCAGCUAGAACCACAUAAAAUCUGCCUUGUAAAAGGCAAAUAAGGAGUAUCUUUAUCGUAGACAAACAGUUGCUCAAGUUAUGAAAUAAAAUUAAUUUUAUAAAAAACAUUAUUUUGAGAUAAGCAUUACAUAAGAAUCUUUACCAAGGUUUUGAGCUGAGCAUCUAGGCAAAGCGAAGUCUCAAUUCUGGCAAAUAUA